GUCUACAGCCAUGCCACCCUGAACAAGCCCGUCUGAUCUCGGACGCUAAGCAGGGUCGGGCCUGGUUAGUACUUGGAUGGGAGACCACCUAGGAAGACCAGGUGCUGUAGGUG
rnacentral:rRNA from 1 species